AUUCUUGACCCUGAUAAGCACCUUUCUGGGUGGAGGGGGAGCAGUUAGGGGGAGGGGUUCAUCCUUAAUCUGUCCAUUAGGCAUGCUGUGUAGUGGUUACUUCCAAAGCUGGUGACUUAAAGCAACAUUCAGGCAAUAAAUUUAUCAUCACCUGCAGCUUCUGAGUCAGGAACCCGAGUGCUUAGCUGCGUGGUGCUGGGUCCCCUGCGGACCACGGGCUGUGUCUGAAGGCUUCACCCGGCCAGCUGCUGCUUCCCAGAGGGCGCCUCCUGCUGCGAGCGAGGCUGCAGCCAGAGCUUCCUGGCGUGGCAGGGCCCCCCACCCAACCGUCUGGGAACCUUGCCUUCCAGGCCUGUUGACCUCACUCAAGCCUCUUCUGCCCCUUACCCGUCAGAAAUGCGCCCUGUAGACCGGCCCAGCCCUGGAGAACUGGGCUCACCCUUUUGAGGGUGAGAGAGUCCACGAACUUGCACAUCUAUUUUUAAAACCAUUACCCUUAAGACCUCUUUCUUGUCAUUUCCCUGGAAAUGGAACCAAGUCUCCCCUUGGAUCCGGUUUCCUAUCAUGCGCUCAUCUUAACAUGUAUCUCCCAGAGGGAGGCGCGCCCCGGCGCUCCCGGGAAUCCCUCCGGGUCUCCAUCAGAUGCUUUGAGAAGCAGGGAGAAAACUGCAGCCCUGCCCCGGGAGACCUCGCGGCCGCGGGGAUGUGUGCAGACCUGCCAACAGCCCAGAGGCAGCUGGGCAGGGGGCACCCAGGAAGCUUCCGUGUGCCCGGGCGCAGCCGGAGCCUCCGGGAGAGGGACGCCGCCUGACUACACGCAGCGUCCACAGGCCGCUCUCGGCGCUGACCUCACCCACAGGACCCCGCCGCCCCGAGCUCGCCCGCGGAGGCUCCUGAAGGACACCUGCUAAGCCUUUGUGAAGCUCAAGACGUGCAGUCCCUUCCCUUUUUAUCCCAGCACUUACCACAAGCCGAGCACACAGCAGGCAACUAUUUUAAAAACAUGGGGUCCUAAUGCCGGCAGUGCACGGUGUGGGGUUCUGAACACCCGCGAGCCUACCUUCUCAUCCAGAGUGAAGCGGUGAUAAAUCCCUGCAGGGAGAGUUAUCAUGUCUCCUUUUUCCAUGAAGAUCCGG